rnacentral:rRNA from 1 species
GCUUAACACAUGCAAGUCGAACGAUGAACCNCUUCGGUGGGGAUUAGUGGCGAACGGGUGAGUAACACGUGGGCAAUCUGCCCUGCACUCUGGGACAAGCCCUGGAAACGGGGUCUAAUACCGGAUACUGAUCAUCUUGGGCAUCCAAGGUGUUCGAAAGCUCCGGCGGUGCAGGAUGAGCCCGCGGCCUAUCAGCUUGUUGGUGAGGUAGUGGCUCACCAAGGCGACGACGGGUAGCCGGCCUGAGAGGGCGACCGGCCACACUGGGACUGAGACACGGCCCAGACUCCUACGGGAGGCAGCAGUGGGGAAUAUUGCACAAUGGGCGAAAGCCUGAUGCAGCGACGCCGCGUGAGGGAUGACGGCCUUCGGGUUGUAAACCUCUUUCAGCAGGGAAGAAGCGAAAGUGACGGUACCUGCAGAAGAAGCGCCGGCUAACUACGUGCCAGCAGCCGCGGUAAUACGUAGGGCGCGAGCGUUGUCCGGAAUUAUUGGGCGUAAAGAGCUCGUAGGCGGCUUGUCACGUCGGUUGUGAAAGCCCGGGGCUUAACCCCGGGUCUGCAGUCGAUACGGGCAGGCUAGAGUUCGGUAGGGGAGAUCGGAAUUCCUGGUGUAGCGGUGAAAUGCGCAGAUAUCAGGAGGAACACCGGUGGCGAAGGCGGAUCUCUGGGCCGAUACUGACGCUAAGGAGCGAAAGCGUGGGGAGCGAACAGGAUUAGAUACCCUGGUAGUCCACGCCGUAAACGGUGGGCACUAGGUGUGGGCAACAUUCCACGUUGUCCGUGCCGCAGCUAACGCAUUAAGUGCCCCGCCUGGGGAGUACGGCCGCAAGGCUAAAACUCAAAGGAAUUGACG